rnacentral:lncRNA from 1 species
GCACCCUUCGUUUUCCUUGCGUCGUCUUUAACGCUCCAGAAGAACAAUCCGCUUUGCGAGUGGACUUAGUGAGGUCGACAUGAGAACAACUCUGCGGGAAGACACAAUGGGGGAACGUCAACCAUACCUUUUUCAAGGUUUGCUUCGGUGCAGAGUCCCCCAGUUCCGUUGUCCUGGCCUUCUUCACCAACACUGUUUUCGUCGAGUGGUUUUUCCUUUUCUCGUGGCAGUGUACAGAGGUGCAAGAUGGUGCCACCACUUCAGUCCUCGUAGCGGCACGCGUUGGCUGCCUAUUGACUCCUGCCUUAGACUGCACUUUUCUGAUCCAACCCCUGGAUUGUUUGACCGAGCUGCCCUUCCGCCCGUCGCGACUUGUGUUGCGUCUGGAUCUAUUAUUGGCGCAGCAGCGCGCAUCCACUGAUAAAGCACAAGCUGUCCGAAGGAGUCAGCAGACAACGAUAUAUCAUACUCACAUUGCUCCGUUUCAAUGGGCACGUUAUCACCAAGUCGUCGUGUUGGAGGAACGCAUAGCGUGGCAGCUGCAUUGGGAACUCCGUAUUUCCGGACCACAGCCUCAGCAGUUUUGCUCUUCAGAACGGAGUCACAGGCUCUGGCUUUUUUGGCAAGGAUUUUCCCCUUGGGUCGUCCGUUUUUGCUGAAUGCACCGAAGAAUUAUCGUACGAUCGCCUUUAUAUCACUGCUGCACGGUAAAGGAUAUGACGAACCUUUUAAUGGACGCUUGACCGGAGAUUUUCGGCUGCAUUUUCUUACGAUCUGUUCCGUAGCACUUCACCGAUAGCAUGACCUUCUUUACUGAUGAAAGACUUUUUGUGCUCGUGUAACAGCAGAGGCUCAUGCACGGACACGUACGCUGUUCAGCACCGAGUGAAAUCUGACAGGCGCGACUGAUUCGACACGGAGUUGCCGGAAUUGUUCUCCUCUUUCGGACCUCAUAGCACAUUCGAUCCUCGUGCGCCUUUUGAACUGUGCCAUUUCCCAAUGAUUUUGAGGCAAGGCCAGUGAGUGAAGGGCUCAAGCGAUUCUGUUGCCGACAACAAUGGACCAACAGCUGAUACAAGAGGAAAAUAUCCUACUCACCUGGUGACUUGAAGUCCAACAAGAAGAUUCGGCAGAAGACGGAUCACCAAGAUUGUCUGAUAGUUCUUGCUUUCCAUUACCCGGAGUCGGCGGUGGGGCAGUUGCAUCCCUCAUUGAGCAACGCAUCCCACCCGCUGGCGCUUCGGUGGUCAAAAGUAGGGACUUUACAGUGGACGGCGUCUCUCUGUACGACAGUUGACCUGGUUUUGGUGGAAAGUCUGACUCCUUCGGCACCACUGAUUCAUGAUGCUUCUCUCCGAUUUGUGUUUCAGGCAGGUGGUCUGUCGCUGAACAACACACUAUGGAGUUCUCGUCUAUCCCGCAGGACUGACUCCCGCGUGGAUCCGCAUUAGGGAAUGUACGGAGAUCCACUGGAGUCCUGGCGUGUUGUUGGCAUGCACGUGCUCCCGAUGAAUGAACAGGCUGUACGGGAAAAGAAGCAUUUUGUUCACAUAAUAGACUGAUAACGAGACGUUCAUCCAAUCCUUUUAACGAGAGGGCCUGGACACCCGGUGCAGUUUCCGGCUUAAACUCGGCAAUCAAGGGAAG